GCCACACGAAGAGUGGGCACGGGCCAGAGCCUCGGGAUUCCACGCUGACCCUUGCAAGGGGAGCUCAUCAACAACACUGUGCUUUUCUUCCUUGGCCCAAAGGAGCAUUUGUUUCUCUUUCCAGCACCACAAACAAACCAGAGGCAUUGUCUUAGAGACGUGAGGAAAGGACCUCAGCUUGGGAAGAGCCAGUAUCAGAAACUCAGAUUCCAUGUUGCCUGAACAGAAGAAAGGAGGAGAGCGCUGAGGCACAGAUGAAGUUGGCAAUACGAUGUGAGCUCAUUGACACCUGAAAGCAAAAGCCUCUUGGUGACAGAUCUGAGAGGACAGGAGCUGCCUGUUGAUCUUGGUCAACUCAACACGAAGAUAAAUAGCAGGGAAG